GAUGAACGCUGGCGGCGUGCCUAACACAUGCAAGUCGAACGGAGAUUACGGACGGAAGUUUUCGGAUGGAAGACUGUAAUUCUUAGUGGCGGACGGGUGAGUAACGCGUGGGCAACCUGCCCUAUACAGGGGGAUAGCAGCUGGAAACGGCUGGUAAGACCGCAUAAGUCGGCGAGACCGCAUGGUUUUGCCGGGAAAUGAGCAAUCAGGUAUAGGAUGGGCCCGCGUCCGAUUAGCCAGUUGGCAGGGUAAAAGCCUACCAAAGCAACGAUCGGUCGCCGGACUGAGAGGUCGGACGGCCACAUUGAGACUGGGACACGGCCCAAACUCCUACGGGAGGCAGCAGUGGGGGAUAUUGCACAAUGGAGGAAACUCUGAUGCAGCGACGCCGCGUGAGUGAAGAAGUAUUUCGGUAUGUAAAGCUCUAUCAGCAGGGAAGAUGAUGACGGUACCGGACUAAGAAGCCCCGGCUAACUACGU
rnacentral:rRNA from 1 species